GAUAAACGCUGGCGGCGUGCCUAACACAUGCAAGUCGAACGAUCCCGCAAGGGAGAGUGGCGGAAGGGUGAGUAACACGUGGGAAUCUACCUCCUCGCAGGGAACAACCUCUCGAAAGAGAGGCUAAUACCCAAAAGGGUCAGAAAUGAUCAGAGUCGAAAGGCGUGAGGAGAGGAGCCCGCGGCCCAUCAGCUAGUUGGUGAGGUAAUGGCUUACCAAGGCUACGACGGGUAGGGGAUCUGAGAGGAUGUCCCCCACACUGGAACUGAAACACGGUCCAGACGCCUACGGGUGGCAGCAGUGAGGAAUAUUGGACAAUGGGCGAAAGCCCGAUCCAGCAACGCCGCGUGGAGGAUGAAGGCCUUCGGGUCGUAAACUUCUUUAGAGGGAGACGAGAAAGGACGGUAUCCCUAGAAUAAGCGACGGCAAACUACGUGCCAGCAGCCGCGGUAACACGUAGGUCGCGAGCGUUAUCCGGAUUUACUGGGCGUAAAGCGCUUGUAGGCGGUUCUGUAAGUCGGGCGUGAAAUCUCCGGGCUUAACUCGGAGUGGCCGUUCGAUACUGCAGGGCUUGAGGAUGCUAGAGGGUGGUGGAAUUCCAGGUGUAGUGGUGAAAUGCGUAGAUAUCUGGAGGAACAUCCGUGGCGAAGGCGGCCACCUGGGGCAUUCCUGACGCUGAGAAGCGACAGCUAGGGGAUCAAACGGGAUUAGAAACCCCGGUAGUCCUAGCCGUAAACGAUGGACGCUAGGUGUUGGCAGAUCUAACCCUGUCUGCGCCGAAGCAAACGCGUUAAGCGUCCCGCCUGGGAACUACGGUCGCAAGAUUAAAACUCAAAGGAAUUGACGGG
rnacentral:rRNA from 1 species